AUUCAGCUGAAGAGUCUCAAAUAGGACGAAACGCACGUCUUGGAU
rnacentral:hammerhead_ribozyme from 1 species